rnacentral:misc_RNA from 1 species
UUAGAAAGUUUCUCAUUUUAAGCAGUAAACAAAACUGCAGCAAAGCUGCCAUAGAUGUGCAUCCUGUGUCAACCAGAGUUGCAGGACGUAUGCAUGUACAGACUAGUUGAGCUAAAUAUUUAGGCCAACUUUAUCAUAUGAUUAGUUGUCUCGGUUGAAGCCCACACUGCUUGUGUUGAUUGGGUUCUGUGUUUCGAACUUGUAACCAUAUAGAUCUGGAGACGGCUCUGGUGAAAUCUACUUCUUUUUGACUUGGGUGGUAAUUUAGCAGCGGUUGUAUACUGGGAUUCUUGCCAGAGGGUAUUGUUUGGCAGUAGAGAUCGGUUCCUUUUUAUCCUUCAGCUAUUUGGUUAAACAUUCACUUUGCCUAAACACAACCAUCAACUGGUUCUUUGUUUCUGAAAAAAAAAAAAA